UUAUUUAAGGGCAAAUUUGUAAUAAGAACGCAAAAGCUGUUUUUUCUUGGUAGUUAUAUAUUAUCCCGUGCUUUCUAGAAGCCAUUCUACGCUUCCACAGAGCUCUUUUUAUAGUUUGUGCAUUCCAGAUAUUUUUCAGUUUUGGCUCGAGUAUUCUCCUUUCAUGUGCAGAGUAUUUUGUCAUGAUGAAAAAGACAAGUAGCACAUAAUGAGAGGAAACAUAAAACUGGAUAAAAAGAAUAUGACUUCUGAUUAGGCUAAGGUCAUUCUUUGCAACUGUCUUUUUGCGUUGACAAAGAAGAAAGAAAGAACUAUGAAGUUCUACAGGUUCGAUUUAGAAAGACAAAGGCUCAAAAAUCUAAAUGGGGGUUACAUACUCCCGUCACAUUGGAGGUGGGAAAAACAAAAUAUGAUAUUUCGACGUGGUACAACUUCGAUGCUCAGGAAAAACUUCAUUUAGAUACAAAUAUCAUGGACAUUUAAGUCACAAUUUCUUAGUUGACAUAAGUCAAAUGGAGAUUGAAGAGCUGUAACUAUGCAUAGAUCUUCCCCAAAAAUGUACAGAUAACCUCAAAAAGACUUAUCUUGACGUUGGAGAUAGGAGUAAUACAAAAAGGGAAUUCGUGGAGAGCCAGUUGGCCAAGGCCAUUUAUGAAAAACAGGUUCUCGAGGAGUAUAACAAGUCCUUACAAAAGGCAUACAGAUCUGGUAUAGAUGAAGUACUUGCAAGUGGCUUAGGCGUUUGAUCGUCCCAAUUUAUUCUCUUCUGCAAUUAUGCUUUGGCUUUGUGGUAUGGUGGAAAGAUGAUCUUGGAGAAAGAUUACACAGGAGGUUCAGUCUUGACCAUACUCUAGCCGUGUUAACUGCUUCAAUGUCAAUAGGUGAUGCAUCUCUUUGCUUUGCUGCAUUUGCAGCAGGGAAAGCUGGUGCUGGUGCUUUCAAGAUGCUUGAGACUAUAAACAGAAAUUUAGAGAUUGAUGUGUACAACAGUGGAAUAAUUUUUGAUGACAUAUGUGGAGAUAUAGAGAUAAAAACAUGUAUGUUUUAACUAUCCAAGCAGAUCAACAGUGAGAAUACUCAACGAGUUCUCAUUGUUAAUCCCAAACGGAAAAUUUACUGUUUUAGUUGGUGGAAGCGGAAGUGGCAAGUCCACAAUUAUUAGUUUAAUUGAGAGAUUCUAUGAUCCACAAUCAGGGAAAUUUUUAAUAGACGGACGUAAUUUCAAAAACUUUCAAAUCUGAACUUAAAACAUUUAUUUGUAUAGACAAAUGUGUAUGAAUUAGUAUAUUUGUCCGAUCAACAAUGAAGUUGAUCAGGUAUAAGUGAAAAAAAAUAUAGUAGCAUAGGAAUCUGCAAAAUCAAUUGAUGUAAAUGUUUUUGUGCGACUCAAAUCGGUAAAGGUGCAGGAU